AUGUGUGUGUGUAGACCCAUUGGUGUUUUACCUGGAGGCAUGUCUGGCUGACCCCAUCUUCGGCAAAAACGGAGCCAUGAUUCCGGAAAUAGAGUGGAUGAACCAGGUCCUGCUGACGGUGGAGAAGGUGAACUCCGGGAGCUUAAUCGAAAUCACCGUUUUCGGACAGCCCCGUGUCCAAAAUAGGGUGAGGAGCGUGCUCCUGAGCCUGGCAGCAAG